UACGUAGGGUGCAAGCGUUGUCCGGAAUUAUUGGGCGUAAAGAGCUCGUAGGCGGUUCGUCGCGUCGGCUGUGAAAACCUGAGGCUCAACCUCAGGCCUGCAGUCGAUACGGGCGGACUUGAGUACUGCAGGGGAGACUGGAAUUCCUGGUGUAGCGGUGAAAUGCGCAGAUAUCAGGAGGAACACCGGUGGCGAAGGCGGGUCUCUGGGCAGUAACUGACGCUGAGGAGCGAAAGCGUGGGGAGCUAACAGG
rnacentral:rRNA from 1 species